GUACUGACGGACGUUAACACGUCCACCAUUGAUCUCACAUACGAAGGGCCCAGGUGGAAAUACACUCAGCUACACACCGCAACAAUGUGACAACCUACGCUGAGAAAAGUUGAUACAUUCGAACACAGACAUUUAUUGUAUACAGAAGCUGUAUGUAACUAUCACUUGUACAUUUGCCAUAAUAACAUUCUGUAUAUAUUGUGAUGUAAC